rnacentral:misc_RNA from 1 species
GGCCAGGGUGACUCGAGAG